UACGUAGGGGGCAAGCGUUGUCCGGAAUUAUUGGGCGUAAAGCGCGUGUAGGCGGCUCGGUAAGUCUGCUGUGAAAGUCCAGGGCUCAACCCUGGAAUGCCGGUGGAUACUGUCGGGCUAGAGUCCGGAAGAGGCGAGUGGAAUUCCUGGUGUAGCGGUGGAAUGCGCAGAUAUCAGGAGGAACACCGAUGGCGAAGGCAGCUCGCUGGGACGGUACUGACGCUGAGGCGCGAAAGCGUGGGGAGCGAACAGG
rnacentral:rRNA from 1 species